UACAGAGGUCCCAAGCGUUGUUCGGAUUCAUUGGGCGUAAAGCGUGCGUAGGCGGUCCUAAAAGUUAGGAGUGAAAGCCCAGGGCUUAACCCUGGAAUUGCUCUUAAAACUAUAGGACUAGAAUUCGGGAGAGGAUAGCGGAAUUGUCAGUGUAGCAGUGAAAUGCGUAGAUAUUGACAGGAACACCAGUGGCGUAAGCGGCUAUCUGGACCGACAUUGACGCUGAGGCACGAAAGCGUGGGGAUCAAACAGG
rnacentral:rRNA from 1 species